rnacentral:rRNA from 1 species
CCUACGGGAGGCAGCAGUGGGGAAUAUUGGGCAAUGGGCGCAAGCCUGACCCAGCAACGCCGCGUGAAGGAAGAAGGCUUUCGGGUUGUAAACUUCUUUUCUCAGGGACGAAACAAGUGACGGUACCUUACGAAUAAGCCCCGGCUAACUACGUGCCAGCAGCCGCGGUAAUACGUAGGUGGCAAGCGUUAUCCGGAUUUAUUGGGUGUAAAGGGAGUGUAGGCGGGAAUGCAAGUCUGAUGUGAAAUACAUGGGCUCAACCUAUAGCUUGCAUGUGAAACUGUAUUGCUUGAGUGCUGGAGAGGCAAGCGGAAUUCCGAGUGUAGCGGUGAAAUGCGUAGAUAUAAGGAGGAACACCAGUGGCGAAGGCGGAUUGCUGGACAGUAACUGACGCUGAGGCGCGAAAGCGUGGGGAGCAAACAGGAUUAGAUACCCCUGUAGUC